CGAUGAGCUUACGGCAGCUUAUGUCAUUUCAACGUCAGUAAAAUUGAACAUCAACUAAAGUUUUUUCGCGUUCGAAACAAGAAAGGACACGAUUGUCUUUUGUUCUUUAAAAAUUGUAAACUCGAACAAUUACCAUGACAUGGGGUAAAUUGGGAUCCUGGGGUAAAUUGGGACAAACCUGCGGAAGAUUCUCAAAGUACCUGUAGCACGGAAUCUACCUAAUUUUGUUUAUGUUAAUAUUUAUCAAUGUAUAGAAGAAAAACCAAGUUAACUAUGGAAGUACUAAAUAUGAGUUAAGUUGGUCCCAAAAAUUCGUCAAAUUAAAUUGAAAAUAGUGGUUGAAAAGUGCGUUUUAAAACAGCUUAAAGAACUUUUAAAAAAAGUAAUAUUAUCGUUGUUUUUUCAAUAAGAUCACAGUUUAUAUAAGUUUUUAAUACACCUGGAAAUACCACAACAAACGAAUCUAUUCACGCGUCGAAUCAUGAUUUUGUUAACAUUCAAAACGCACACACAAAUAAAAACAGGCCUCAGAUUUUAAAUGUAACAUUAAUUAAAAAUCCGAGAUAUCCAAUUAUGAGUGAGUGAAUUAAUUGAGUUUAGUUAUUUAGCUUAGAAAGAAUUUCUUUUAUUUUUGUUAUUAUUGGCAGUAAUCAGAUAAAGCUGUUUUUUUAUCUUAUUCACCUGAUAUCUUACUCUUGCUCAAAGAUUAUUUUGAAAAUGUUGAUUAAAUAAAAUUGUAUUGCAUUUCCAGUCCUUUUGUUUUCUAUUUUUUAUUCUAUUUUAUCAUUUUGUUUCAGAGUUGUGAUUUUUAAGGAAAUUAAAUAAUAAUUUUCUAAAAUAUAA